rnacentral:rRNA from 1 species
UACGUAGGGGGCAAGCGUUGUCCGGAAUCAUUGGGCGUAAAGCGCGUGUAGGCGGCCAGGUAAGUCCGUUCUGAAAGCCCGGGGCUCAACCCCGGGAGGCGGAUGGAUACUGCUUGGCUCGAGUCCGGAAGAGGCGAGUGGAAUUCCCGGUGUAGCGGUGAAAUGCGCAGAUAUCGGGAGGAACACCGGUGGCGAAGGCGGUCUGCUGGGCCGUUGCUGACGCUGAGGCGCGACAGCGUGGGGAGCAAACAGG